AGUGAACGCUGGCGGUAGGCCUAACACAUGCAAGUCGAACGGCAGCACAGUAAGAGCUUGCUCUUACAGGUGGCGAGUGGCGGACGGGUGAGGAAUACAUCGGAAUCUACUUUUUCGUGGGGGAUAACGUAGGGAAACUUACGCUAAUACCGCAUACGACCUACGGGUGAAAGCAGGGGAUCUUCGGACCUUGCGCGAUUGAAUGAGCCGAUGUCGGAUUAGCUAGUUGGCGGGGUAAAGGCCCACCAAGGCGACGAUCCGUAGCUGGUCUGAGAGGAUGAUCAGCCACACUGGAACUGAGACACGGUCCAGACUCCUACGGGAGGCAGCAGUGGGGAAUAUUGGACAAUGGGCGCAAGCCUGAUCCAGCCAUACCACGUGGGUGAAGAAGGCCUUCGGGUUGUAAAGCCCUUUUGUUGGGAAAGAAAUCCAGCCGGCUAAUACCUGGUUGGGAUGACGGUACCCAAAGAAUAAGCACCGGCUAACUUCGUG
rnacentral:rRNA from 1 species